AGAGUUUGAUCAUGGCUCAGGAUGAACGCUAGCGGCAGGCCUAAUACAUGCAAGUCGAACGGUAACAGGGUAGCAAUACCGCUGACGAGUGGCGCACGGGUGCGUAACGCGUAUGCAACUUACCUUUAACUGGAGAAUAGCCCUCGAAAGAGGGAUUAACACUCCAUAGUAUUUCGAAAUGGCAUCAUUUUGAAAUUAAAGCUCAAGCGGUUAGAGAUGGGCAUGCGUGACAUUAGCUAGUUGGUGAGGUAACAGCUCACCAAGGCUACGAUGUCUAGGGGUUCUGAGAGGAUGAUCCCCCACACUGGUACUGAGACACGGACCAGAUUCCUACGGGAGGCAGCAGUAAGGAAUAUUGGUCAAUGGACGCAAGUCUGAACCAGCCAUGCCGCGUGCAGGAUGACUGCCCUAUGGGUUGUAAACUGCUUUUGUACGGGAAUAAACCCUUCUACGUGUAGAAGGCUGAAGGUACCGUAAGAAUAAGGAUCGGCUAACUCCGUGCCAGCAGCCGCGGUAAUACGGAGGAUCCAAGCGUUAUCCGGAUUCAUUGGGUUUAAAGGGUGCGUAGGCGGAUUGGUAAGUCAGGGGUGAAAUCCCACAGCUCAACUGUGGAAUUGCCUUUGAUACUGCUAGUCUUGAGUAUAUUUGAAGUGGGCGGAAUGUGUCAUGUAGCGGUGAAAUGCAUAGAUAUGACACAGAACACCGAUUGCGUAGGCAGCUCACUAAACUAUAACUGACGCUGAGGCACGAAAGCGUGGGGAUCAAACAGGAUUAGAUACCCUGGUAGUCCACGCCGUAAACUAUGAUUACUCGAUGUUGGCGAUAUACUGUCAGCGUCCAAGCUAAAGCGUUAAGUAAUCCACCUGGGAGAUCCCUACCCGCACAAGCGGAGGAGCAUGUGGUUUAAUUCGAUGAUACGCGAGGAACCUUACCAGGGCUUGAAAGUUAGUGACCGACCCUGAAAGGGGUCUUUCAGCAAUGACACGAAACUAGGUGCUGCAUGGCUGUCGUCAGCUCGUGCCGUGAGGUGUUGGGUUAAGUCCCGCAACGAGCGCAACCCUUAUCUUUAGUUGCCAGCGAGUAAUGUCGGGGACUCUAAAGAAACUGCCCGCGUAAGCGUGGAGGAAGGUGGGGAUGACGUCAAGUCAGCACGGCCCUUACGUCCUGGGCUACACACGUGCUACAAUGGUCGAUACAAAGGGCAGCUACAUGGUGACAUGAUGCAAAUCUCUAAAGUCGAUCUCAGUUCGGAUCGAAGUCUGCAACUCGACUUCGUGAAGCUGGAUUCGCUAGUAAUCGCGUAUCAGCAAUGACGCGGUGAAUACGUUCCCGGGCCUUGUACACACCGCCCGUCAAACAAUGGAAGUUGGGGGUACCUGAAGUCGAUAACCGCAAGGAGUCGCCUAGGGUAAAACCAAUAACUGGUGUUAAGUCGUAACAAGGUAACC
rnacentral:rRNA from 1 species